GAUGAACGCUGGCGGCGUGCCUAAUACAUGCAAGUCGAGCGAACAGACGAGGAGCUUGCUCCUCUGACGUUAGCGGCGGACGGGUGAGUAACACGUGGAUAACCUACCUAUAAGACUGGGAUAACUUCGGGAAACCGGAGCUAAUACCGGAUAAUAUAUUGAACCGCAUGGUUCAAUAGUGAAAGACGGUUUUGCUGUCACUUAUAGAUGGAUCCGCGCCGCAUUAGCUAGUUGGUAAGGUAACGGCUUACCAAGGCGACGAUGCGUAGCCGACCUGAGAGGGUGAUCAGCCACACUGGAACUGAGACACGGUCCAGACUCCUACGGGAGGCAGCAGUAGGGAAUCUUCCGCAAUGGGCGAAAGCCUGACCGAGCAACGCCGCGUGAGUGAUGAAGGUCUUCGGAUCGUAAAACUCUGUUAUUAGGGAAGAACAAAUGUGUAAGUAACUAUGCACGUCUUGACGGUACCUAAACAGAAAGCCACGGCUAACUACGUG
rnacentral:rRNA from 1 species